UUAAGGAUGUUUGCUUCUCCAUUUUUUGAUUUUUUGCCAGAUUUUUCGGAAUCCUCUGGUUUUAUCUAUGUAUUGUCAUUAAAAAAUUUUGCCCACUAACCCCUACUUCUUUUCUUUUCAUAAUUUUAUUACAUAAAGUUUAAGAAGCCAUUUUUCAAAAUUUUAUAAAAUUCUUGUUAUUUUUUCAUAGUUUUUGAAACAAAUAAGGUGCCAAUGUUAAAUAUAUGAAAAAUCUAGAGAGAAUUAUUUCCCGCCAAAUUUUCAAUGGCUUAUUUCUCGAAAAGGAGCACACGGACCCUCCAUUUUUUUCUACUUUU
rnacentral:lncRNA from 1 species